rnacentral:rRNA from 1 species
AGAGCGAACGCUGGCGGCAUGCCUAACACAUGCAAGUCGCACGGUCGGGGGGUGACUUCCGGCAGUGGCGGACGGGUGAGUAACGCGUAGGGAUCUAUCCUUGGAUGGGGGGACAACCGCGGGAAACCGCGGCUAAUACCGCAUGAUGCCUGAGGGCCAAAGCUCGCGAGAGCGUCUGGGGAGGAGCCUGCGUCCGAUUAGCUAGUUGGUGGGGUAACGGCUCACCAAGGCGUCGAUCGGUAGCUGGUCUGAGAGGAUGAUCAGCCACACUGGGACUGAGACACGGCCCAGACUCCAUUUGGAGGCAGCAGUGAGGAAUCUUCCGCAAUGGGCGAAAGCCUGACGGAGCAAUACCGCGUGGAGGAAGAAAGCCUAUGGGUUGUAAACUCCUUUCUCGGAGAAGAAUACUGACGGUAUCCGAGGAAUAAGCAUCGGCAAAAUCUGCGCCAGCAGCCGCGGUAA